rnacentral:lncRNA from 1 species
GAAUCCCGCGUCUCACAAGCCACCUCCUCCACGAGCGGCCGAGAGCCUAGUGGCCGCUCCGGCUCCGCCUCCGCCGCCGCCGCCGCCGCCUCCCCCUCCUCCUCCUCCGCCGCCGCCUCCGGCCACAGCCCUAACAGCUUCCUCAGCGCCCCUGACGCUGGAGGAGGAGCUGCAGGAAGCCAUCCGGAGGGCGCAGGUGAGAGGGUGCCGGAUCAAGUGGGUCUGGGAUGGUGGGUCUCCGCUCAGGUUCUGGGUGGGAUGCCAGAUUCACGCCGCGUCUGUUCGUCCACAGCUGCUUCCGAAUCGGGGCAUUGAUGACAUCCUGGAGGACCAGAUGGAGCCUGAUGGUAAGAGCCUAACUCCUGAGUUUGGGGGAGAAGGGGCCUGAGGUUCUGCACUCCUGGGUCCGAGGAAAGAAUGGGCUGAGGAACAGAACCAGAUCCAUGACUUCCUAAGCUCACACUCCAUUCCUUCCCCCGCAGACCCGCUGCCCCCCAUUCCUCUGGAUUUUCCUGGCUCCUUCGACGUGCUGUCCCCCUCCCCGGACUCUGAAGGCCUCUCAUCUGUCUUCUCCUCGUCACUCCCAACCCCCACGAACUCCCCAUCCACCUCUCCCAGAGGCCCCACGGAUUCCUUGGACUGGUUAGAGGCCCUGAGUGGGGGUCCUCCACUGGGCUCUGGCCCUCCAGCCCCCAGCAUCUUCUCUGCUGACUUAUCUGACUCCAGUGGCACCCGGCUCUGGGACCUGCUGGAGGAUCCGUGGUGAUGGGUUCUGGAGUUUUACAGGGACCCAGAACUGGUGGGGGUGAAGAUGGCAAAGAGACUCCGGGAAGGGAAAUGGAACAACUAGUAGAGCCCCUCCCACCACAGACACCCAAUCCCAAUCUGGCCCCUAACUGCUGCUGACAUGCCGAAUGCCUGGACUUUGCCUUCCUACGGGCCUUACCCCCUCUAUGGUUGUGUGGUUGGGGAUGGAGGUUCAUUUGCUGCUGCCCAAGGCAAACAAGCUGCUUUCUGCUUCCUUUUGAGACCUCAUGGAUGUUCUUAAUGCCCGUUUCCUCACAGAUACAUACAGAUGGAUGCCUGUUGUGUGGCAAAGCUGAAGGGGGAUAUGCUGUUGGAUGCAGGAAAGGGGCAGGGAAGAGUAGGGAGGGACAAGAGGGUAGCCAGACCCCUGGGUUCCAGUUGGAUCAGAAGUGUUGUGUCUGAAGUCAGCUUCUGUUGGAGGCACAGAGACAAGAUGUCCACACCAGUGAUUUGUUUAAGAAAUGCUUUCCAGGAGAGAUACUGAGGGACUGGAGACAGACAGACUAGAGGAAGAAAAGGAGCCAGAGUGUGCCCUCAGGUGAAGUCUCAGCUUCAGCCUCUUCCCCUGGGGAGUUCUGGAGCAUAAAUUGAGCUACAGACUUUUCCACCUUGGGGUGCAUGGAACUAGGCCUUUGAAUCUCCCUGUCUGUGCUUUCUAUUGCUAAAGCCACAAAGCAGUAACCAUCUGAAAUCACUCACGAUUUCAUGGAUUCACUGGGCUCCAUGGGAUAUUCCUUCAGCUCUGCAUGAUUAUAGCCAGGGCUACAGUCGUCUUGGGGCCCAGCUGGGCAGGGGCACCUAAGAUGGCACUCUGGUGCCUUGGCAGAGGUAGCCAGAAGGGCCAUGGGGACUUCGGGACUCUCAUUCACCAUGGAGCAUCAGCGUUCUCCCUUUCCGUGGGGUAGCUUGGGACUCUGGAAGAGCAAGCAUUCCAAGGGGAGAUUGCAGAAUAUUCCAGUCUCUUGAAACAGGUACAAUUUCACUCUACUACAUUAAUGACAGGUACAAUCUCACAUCUGCUACUUAAAGGAAGUCAGGUCAGUUCAGGCUGAAUAUGGUGGGGGGCUAGACAGGGAUAUCAGGGGUAUGCCCAUAGGGAGCCAUAUUUGGAGACCUGCCACUGCACCAUCUCCAGUAGUCAUGGGUCAGGGGUCACAGGAGGGAGUAAGGAAGGGAAGACAUAAACUUCCAGGUAAUUUCAGCCCAAAGGCAGUCCUGGGAAGAGAGCCAUGGGGUAUGCCUCCAGCAGGAGUGUGUUAAAAUAUAGAGUUUAUUAUUUCAGAGGUGGUGAGGCAACAGGCGAAAACUGCAUCACCAUUCAUUCAAAAGACAGUUUGUUAUAGUCCCAUGUCCCAAAAGAAAGGGACACUGGACACCAUGCAGGACCCCAGGGGAUGCCUAGAGCUGGUCUAGAGAGCAGGAGAGGAGGGGACAACAGACAAGAGCCUUCACUGUGGAGUCCCUGGGAGCAAAGGAAGGGCAAGGUACUCAGGCUUAGGAUUGGCCAGUUUGAAUCAUUUCAGUGGACUUUGGGGCAUAAAGGCUGUAAGCAAAAAUAACCAACUGGGGACAGACCUCGAUGGAUUAAUGAUGCUUUUAUUAAGCCACAGAGGAAUGCAUUUUGGGGGAGAAAAAUGGCAGCAUGCUACAACAGGGUUCUGAGUUUUCUAGGGUUCAGCAGACACAGGUCAUCGGUGAGUUGGUUUGGCAGGCUCAUUUAGAGUAGGACAGGAGGGCAGGUAGGGCAGUUCCUGGGGCCUAUUGUCCUGGGGUCCUUUUGUAUUUUCCCUUCCUGCCUUCUCUCCAGUUGAGGCUCAGGCUUCUAAAUGUCAAAAGCUCCAAUUUACCACAGCCAUCUCUCUGUGAUGGGUGAGGAAGGCGGGUGAGGAGACAGCUGCAGAUAGGGGACUUGCCCCCGGGCCUAUUCUCCAUAUCCUUCAGAGGCUGUCCUGAGUUGCCAGGGACCUAGCCCUGGGGUGGUGGGCAGGUGGGUGUAAGAGUCCCUUAAAGGAGGUGGGGGGACAUGGGUUCUGGGUUGGCUGGUUGCUUAAGGAAGGUGCUGACAGGGGUGUCUUUUACUAUCUAGCAAUUGGUGGCCCUAGGAGGGAUGGUUGCUCCAGGGUCACCAAGGCCCCAGAGUCACAGCAGCUGAAAAUAAAAAAGGCACAAUUAAGGGCUGGGGGUUGGGCGUCCAGAGAUGGUGAGAGUCUGAGAGGACCUGGGCGAGCCACCAAUAGUUCUUUCCACUGCAGGGGGAAAGAACAGCAGAUCAAGGACAUGUGAUGUGGCUUGGAGCCACCGACUUCCCUAAUGUCUGUACCUACAGCCCAGGGUGGACAAGUGUUCACUGAGACUACCACAAAUGGGACCUGAUGUGCGGGACGUGCCAACCCAUAGCAAACAGCUUUAGUAGCUGCUGAUCUGUUCCAGACCCUCCAUGUACAACAGCUCUGGGGGCAUCAGGGAUCCGCGAUGAAGGGAAGGGAAUAGACAUGUGGACUUGGCCUGGGCAGAGGCACUUUUCCAUGUCUCCAAGCCAGAUAGCAUUCGUCAUCUUCCCUUUGCAGAGACUGCUGAAGAUAGAGGAGAGGCGAGAUGGGCCCUGGGCCCACAGAUGGGAGGAACUGCCCAGGGAUUUGACUGAAGAGCCCACAGCCUGUGCUUUUAGAGUGGGAAACGGAGCACGUCAGCCUCCCCUAUGGCAAAGCCCAUGGACCUGCAGAGAGCCUUCUGCAGUCUCACGCGCAGGGUGCUGUCCGGGUGGUCGUGGUGGAGGGGACUGUGGGGCUGUGGCCCCCAGAAAAGACAGCCUGGAGAGAUGAGGCCUUUUUAUUGAGCCUUGAAGGAUGGGGAGUUGGGCGGAGGAACCACCUGGGUCUUUGCUCUCUUCCUUCAUCUUUGCUGAAGGAAGAGAGCGGGUCAAGUCCUGCAGGUGCGUGGGCCUCUGGCCUCUGGCCACUGGGGGCAGGUGGAGAAAUCAGGGUGGCUGGCUCAGCUGGUGAUGUGGGCGGGGAGGGAGGGGCAGCGGUGCAGGCAGCCCUAGGAAGACCAGGAAGGGGCAUGACGGGGCUUCCUGUCUUUCUCUGGAGUCUUCGGACUGUAUCCCUUUUCAUAUCAAUCUGUCCCCAUCUGUGUCUGACUGCUGAGGUCCCUCACUGUCCCAUUCUGUCCUACACUUAUUCUCUCCAUAGCUCUUGUGUCUCUGGUCUGUCCUCUGCCUGUUCCCUGCUGUGGUCUCUGUCUUUGCUCCCUCCUGCCCUUUUAUCCUGCCCCAUCCAUGGCCUCCUUCUGUCUCUGCCUUCUUACAGUGGAGGGCACCCAGCUCGGCCAGCUCUCACUUCCCACCCACAGCCCCCAUCUCGCCUGCAUCUGGAGGAGGGCAGGCUCGCGCUGAGAGUACACUGGGGGCCCUCCACAGCCCCAAAGACUCAGGGCCAGGAUGACGGAGGGAUUCUCCAGAAGGCGGACUGGGCUUGGGUGGGAGUGUGGGCUUGAGUCCAGCAUUCCCUGCCACCACCUGUGACCCCACGUUUCAGUCCCUUCCUCUGGCCCUGAGGAGAGCCAGGGCUGGACCUGUGGGAUGUCCAUGGGGAGUCCUGUUGCGAUGGGCAAAAGGUGCGACUUAUGCAGUCAAGGGGGAGAAAUAAAGAAAGUCCACGUGUUCUGCCCUUUUCAGUGCUUUACUCACUCAAAUCACUCAAUACAAUUUCACUCUGUAGGUUCUUAAACAAGAAAAUGAUCAUCCUUAAUGCUGGGCACUGCAAUAGACAUAGUCAGUUCACAGCAAUCAGUUCUAGAUUAGUUCUAAGCACUGCAAACAGCACCUCAGCUACNCCACCUUGGGGUGCAUGGAACUAGGCCUUUGAAUCUCCCUGUCUGUGCUUUCUAUUGCUAAAGCCACAAAGCAGUAACCAUCUGAAAUCACUCACGAUUUCAUGGAUUCACUGGGCUCCAUGGGAUAUUCCUUCAGCUCUGCAUGAUUAUAGCCAGGGCUACAGUCGUCUUGGGGCCCAGCUGGGCAGGGGCACCUAAGAUGGCACUCUGGUGCCUUGGCAGAGGUAGCCAGAAGGGCCAUGGGGACUUCGGGACUCUCAUUCACCAUGGAGCAUCAGCGUUCUCCCUUUCCGUGGGGUAGCUUGGGACUCUGGAAGAGCAAGCAUUCCAAGGGGAGAUUGCAGAAUAUUCCAGUCUCUUGAAACAGGUACAAUUUCACUCUACUACAUUAAUGACAGGUACAAUCUCACAUCUGCUACUUAAAGGAAGUCAGGUCAGUUCAGGCUGAAUAUGGUGGGGGGCUAGACAGGGAUAUCAGGGGUAUGCCCAUAGGGAGCCAUAUUUGGAGACCUGCCACUGCACCAUCUCCAGUAGUCAUGGGUCAGGGGUCACAGGAGGGAGUAAGGAAGGGAAGACAUAAACUUCCAGGUAAUUUCAGCCCAAAGGCAGUCCUGGGAAGAGAGCCAUGGGGUAUGCCUCCAGCAGGAGUGUGUUAAAAUAUAGAGUUUAUUAUUUCAGAGGUGGUGAGGCAACAGGCGAAAACUGCAUCACCAUUCAUUCAAAAGACAGUUUGUUAUAGUCCCAUGUCCCAAAAGAAAGGGACACUGGACACCAUGCAGGACCCCAGGGGAUGCCUAGAGCUGGUCUAGAGAGCAGGAGAGGAGGGGACAACAGACAAGAGCCUUCACUGUGGAGUCCCUGGGAGCAAAGGAAGGGCAAGGUACUCAGGCUUAGGAUUGGCCAGUUUGAAUCAUUUCAGUGGACUUUGGGGCAUAAAGGCUGUAAGCAAAAAUAACCAACUGGGGACAGACCUCGAUGGAUUAAUGAUGCUUUUAUUAAGCCACAGAGGAAUGCAUUUUGGGGGAGAAAAAUGGCAGCAUGCUACAACAGGGUUCUGAGUUUUCUAGGGUUCAGCAGACACAGGUCAUCGGUGAGUUGGUUUGGCAGGCUCAUUUAGAGUAGGACAGGAGGGCAGGUAGGGCAGUUCCUGGGGCCUAUUGUCCUGGGGUCCUUUUGUAUUUUCCCUUCCUGCCUUCUCUCCAGUUGAGGCUCAGGCUUCUAAAUGUCAAAAGCUCCAAUUUACCACAGCCAUCUCUCUGUGAUGGGUGAGGAAGGCGGGUGAGGAGACAGCUGCAGAUAGGGGACUUGCCCCCGGGCCUAUUCUCCAUAUCCUUCAGAGGCUGUCCUGAGUUGCCAGGGACCUAGCCCUGGGGUGGUGGGCAGGUGGGUGUAAGAGUCCCUUAAAGGAGGUGGGGGGACAUGGGUUCUGGGUUGGCUGGUUGCUUAAGGAAGGUGCUGACAGGGGUGUCUUUUACUAUCUAGCAAUUGGUGGCCCUAGGAGGGAUGGUUGCUCCAGGGUCACCAAGGCCCCAGAGUCACAGCAGCUGAAAAUAAAAAAGGCACAAUUAAGGGCUGGGGGUUGGGCGUCCAGAGAUGGUGAGAGUCUGAGAGGACCUGGGCGAGCCACCAAUAGUUCUUUCCACUGCAGGGGGAAAGAACAGCAGAUCAAGGACAUGUGAUGUGGCUUGGAGCCACCGACUUCCCUAAUGUCUGUACCUACAGCCCAGGGUGGACAAGUGUUCACUGAGACUACCACAAAUGGGACCUGAUGUGCGGGACGUGCCAACCCAUAGCAAACAGCUUUAGUAGCUGCUGAUCUGUUCCAGACCCUCCAUGUACAACAGCUCUGGGGGCAUCAGGGAUCCGCGAUGAAGGGAAGGGAAUAGACAUGUGGACUUGGCCUGGGCAGAGGCACUUUUCCAUGUCUCCAAGCCAGAUAGCAUUCGUCAUCUUCCCUUUGCAGAGACUGCUGAAGAUAGAGGAGAGGCGAGAUGGGCCCUGGGCCCACAGAUGGGAGGAACUGCCCAGGGAUUUGACUGAAGAGCCCACAGCCUGUGCUUUUAGAGUGGGAAACGGAGCACGUCAGCCUCCCCUAUGGCAAAGCCCAUGGACCUGCAGAGAGCCUUCUGCAGUCUCACGCGCAGGGUGCUGUCCGGGUGGUCGUGGUGGAGGGGACUGUGGGGCUGUGGCCCCCAGAAAAGACAGCCUGGAGAGAUGAGGCCUUUUUAUUGAGCCUUGAAGGAUGGGGAGUUGGGCGGAGGAACCACCUGGGUCUUUGCUCUCUUCCUUCAUCUUUGCUGAAGGAAGAGAGCGGGUCAAGUCCUGCAGGUGCGUGGGCCUCUGGCCUCUGGCCACUGGGGGCAGGUGGAGAAAUCAGGGUGGCUGGCU